GACGGAGGGUGCUAGCGUUGUUCGGAAUCACUGGGCGUAAAGGGCGCGCAGGCGGCCCGGCCAGUCGGACGUGAAAGCCCGGGGCUCAACCCCGGAACGGCGUCCGAGACGGCCGGGCUGGAGACCGGGAGAGGAGGGUGGAAUAGCCAGUGUAGAGGUGAAAUUCGUAGAUAUUGGCUGGAACACCGGUGGCGAAGGCGGCUUUCUGGACAAAUACCGACGCUGAGGCACGAAAGCUAGGGGAGCAAACAGG
rnacentral:rRNA from 1 species